GCGUGGCGCAACGGUAGCGCAUCGGUUUUGUAAACCGCGGGUUGCAGGUUCGAAUCCUGUCGCU
rnacentral:tRNA from 1 species